CUUGUUUGUGGAGAGGAAUGAAUUUGACCAUCUUGUGUGUUUAUGGAGAAGACCAAAAGCUGCUAAGGCAGAUAUUUCCAGUGGUAGAAACAGAGCGGAUUGUUGCAUGAUGGCCUUUUUCCGUUUUGUCAACUGAACGUCUACUAGUGAGGCUCAGCAAGUUCUUGUCAUGAUCCACCAUCUCCAAGAAAGCUGAAGAGCAAAAACACAAAGAACAUCAGUCCUGUUGGGGAUGAGGAAUGAACAUGGCUUUAUUGUGCCAAAACAGAAAAGACUGAAAAGCUCCUAGAAUGAACAAAUCAUCAGUGCAUAAUUUCUGGAAUUUGGGCAGAAAAUGACUGAAUAUGAAAGACUGCAUCAAGAGGUACAGUAGAAGGAAAGCUGGUAGUGAAAACAUUUGUCUUUACUGACAUGGUCCAGACUAAAGAGAAGCGUGUCUGAGGCCAGAGAUGGAGGAGUCUUUGUUGACGGUGUAUUCAAUGGCCACCAAGUGCAGCACUACAGCCUGAAACUGUGAAGACUGCAUUCCCAAACUACUCUGUGACAGCACAAAUGUUACACCCAUAAA